UACGAAGGGAGCUAGCGUUGUUCGGAAUCACUGGGCGUAAAGCGCACGUAGGCGGAUGUGUCAGUCAGGGGUGAAAUCCCGGAGCUUAACUUCGGAACUGCCUUUGAUACAGCACAUCUGGAGUCCGGAAGAGGUGGGUGGAAUUCCUAGUGUAGAGGUGAAAUUCGUAGAUAUUAGGAAGAACACCGGUGGCGAAGGCGGCCCACUGGUCCGGUACUGACGCUGAGGUGCGAAAGCGUGGGGAGCAAACAGG
rnacentral:rRNA from 1 species